UACCCCCCAAAUAUACGCAUUUUGCAGUUGAGAAGUGUUUGGUUCGCUAUUUAAACCCUGUUACAAUCCUUCGAGCGUGGGUAACAAAGAGUUCUCUGUUAGCUUAAUCGAGAUUAGCAACCAUGAGCCGACAUCCUUCUGUAAAAUGGGCCCAGAGGUCUGACAGGGUAUUCAUAACUAUUGAAUUGCCAGAUGCCCAGGAUGUGAAGCUUAAACUGGAGCCUGAUGGAAAAUUCUUCUUUUCCGCCUCUAGUGGAGCAGAUAAAAUACCUUAUGAGAUUGACUUUCAUUUGUAUGACAGUGUUGAUGUUAAUGAUAGCAAGGCUAGCAUUGGCUUGAGAAAUAUCUGCUACCUUGUUAAGAAGGCGGAAAAAAAAUGGUGGUGUAAGUUACUAAAACAAGAAGGGAAGCCUCCUGUGUUCUUAAAAGUUGAUUGGGAUAAAUGGAUUGAUGAGAUGAGAGAAUGAAACAACCAAAGCUGGACCUGAUAUGGACUUUGGUGACUUUGACUUCUCAAAUCUGAACAUGGGUGGUGCUGAUGGCGAAGGAGAUGAUAAUUAUGACAGUGACACAGAAGAAGAGGACGAAGAAGCUAAACCUGCAGAAAAAGUCGAAGAAGCACCUGCAUCUAGUGGUGAACAUGAUGUGAAACAUGAUUGAGGCCCCAACAGAAGAUGCAUUCAACUCUAAAGAGCAGCAACCGUUUCCUCACUGAUUGUAGGGUUUGACAUUCCACAGAUUACAGAAUGCUUUAUUAGUGGGCCUUGUUCUUUGUUUUCUCAGGAAAAAAAAAUGAUCUCCUGCAGUUUGCACCUUGGUUUUCUAUGAGUUUUUGAGUUUUAUAUAUAUAUAUAACUAUAUAUAUUGGAGCUAGAUUAUACAUGGGUUGCUUAUUAGAUCAGUGGGAUGCUUUUUCAUCGGAACGCAAUCUCGGGUGUGUAAUAUAGUGCUCUUUUUUUUUCCUCAAGGGAAUCUAUGUUUCCUUAAGUUGAGAUGAUGAAGCUGAAGUAGCAACAUGUUAAUAACAGGUCUUUGGGUUUGAACAA